CUUCAGUGAUGAGACGAUGACAAGUCAGAACAGGACACAGUCUCACUGCGGUCACUGGGUCAGGGUCAUGUUCUGUGUCUGGGUUCAGCUCCCUGGGGCAGUGUGUCUUUUCAGUUGAAGACAUUGAGGUAUUUGUCUGAAGG
ensembl:snoRNA SNORD15 Small nucleolar RNA SNORD15